UAUAACCCACUAGAAGAAGGAAAACCACAGUAAUACUUUAGAUUAAAGUUACUGAGGCACAACAUACCCAGUAAAAGGCUCAAAUCUUCAGUGUGCAGCGCAGUACAUUUUGCCUGUGACUGCACCCUUCAAACCGUCCCUCAGAUCCAGACGGAGAACAUCUCCACAUCCCCGAAACGACACUAGCGGUACUCUGACUUCCACUGCUCCAGAUGAUUUGCUUGUUCUUGAGCAUCGUGUGAAUGGAUCCACACAGCAUCUACUCUUUGUGUCUGGCUUCGCUCACCCAAUCCAUGCAUCUACCACAAGCCCUGGCCUAGAAAAGGCACCCAACGUUGGCACCUGGAAUGUGUGUCGGAUGAAUGUCUAGUAAUGGAAUGAGGAGUUGGAGGAAGAUACUGGAUACAUGCUUAUCAGAUGGGUGUGGAAAGUAAAGCCAGGAAGGCUGGCAGAGCCACAGAGCAUGGGGCUCCACCUCGUCUCCCUUAAACACGAAUAUGAUCCCUCCUGUCCAAGAGCGCAGCCCCGCCCUGCGGCUCCCCGCACCCUUGGCUACGGGACUUUCUCCAGCUCUCCCCUCUGCAUUGUCAAAACGGGAACAGACUGCGCAGAAGGAACGCGUUUGGUGCUGAGACCGGAGCCAGGGCAAUACGAGGCAGAUCCAGACAAUCUGCUCUGUUCCUCCCAAGGAGAGAGGAAAGGCUUUUAUUACUUGCUGACAAUUAAGUCAGCAAUGGGAAAAUCUCUGGGUGACCAAAGCUAAGCAAAGCAAGAGACGUACAUCAUGUACUGAUGCACCUUGAAAAAUAAA